AAAAGCCAUGAUUGUCAUGUUAUUCUGGAAGAUAUUCUUCCUCUAGCACUUCGAUCCUGUUACCCGCACAAAGAGGUCAUGACAGUAGUUAUCGGGCUGUCUAAUUUCUUCAAGAAGCUAUGCUCGAAAGUGUUAGAUGUCUCUGAGCUUGACAAACUUCAAGAGAGUAUUGUGAUGACACUUUGCAAUAUGGAGAGAAUUUUUCUUCCAUCAUUCUCUACUAUCAUGGUGCAUUUAAUGGUGCACUUGGUUGAAGAAGUUAAACUUGGUGGUCCAGUGCACUAUCGAUGGAUGUACCCUCUGGAGAGAUCAUUUGUCCGGCUGAAAGCACUUGUGCGCAAUAGAGCAUUUCCUGAAGGUUCAAUUGCUGAAGGGUAUCUUGCCCAAGAAUGCUUGACCUUUUGUUCAAGAUUUCUAGAAGGAACUACACGUUUUACAAGACCAUCAAGAAACCCUGCUCCGUCAGAAAAGAUAAAAGAUAUGUACAUGUUCAAUAGUGCUGGUGAACCAAUUGGAAAGGCUAUCCCGGUUGGGCAGUUUAAUAGCCGUCUUCUAAUUCAAGCACAUCGAUAUGUCUUACGACAUUGUGAUGAACUUGCAGAUUUCCGCAAAGAAUUUGUGGCCGAAGAGAAUAGCAAACGAUGUGAGUCAGCUAAAUUG
rnacentral:rRNA from 1 species